UACGAAGGGGGGCUAGCGUUGUUCGGAUUCAUUGGGCGUAAAGGGUGCGUAGGUGGCGCGGUAAGUCGGGUGUGAAAUUUCGGAGCUUAACUCCGAAACUGCAUUCGAUACUGCCGUGCUUGAGGACUGGAGAGGAGACUGGAAUUUACGGUGUAGCAGUGAAAUGCGUAGAGAUCGUAAGGAAGACCAGUGGCGAAGGCGGGUCUCUGGACAGUUCCUGACACUGAGGCACGAAGGCCAGGGGAGCAAACGGG
rnacentral:rRNA from 1 species